CCUGAAACCGUGUACGUACAAGCAGUGGGAGCACCCUUCGGGGUGUGACUGCGUACCUUUUGUAUAAUGGGUCAGCGACUUAUAUUCUGUAGCAAGGUUAACCGUAUAGGGGAGCCGGAGGGAAACCGAGUCUUAAUUGGGCGUUAAGUUGCAGGGUAUAGACCCGAAACCCGGUGAUCUAGCCAUGGGCAGGUUGAAGGUUGGGUAACACUAACUGGAGGACCGAACCGACUAAUGUUGAAAAAUUAGCGGAUGACCUGUGGCUGGGGGUGAAAGGCCAAUCAAACCGGGAGAUAGCUGGUUCUCCCCGAAAGCUAUUUAGGUAGCGCCUCGUGAAUUCAUCUCCGGGGGUAGAGCACUGUUUCGGCUAGGGGGCCAUCCCGGCUUACCAACCCGAUGCAAACUGCGAAUACCGGAGAAUGUUAUCACGGGAGACACACGGCGGGUGCUAACGUCCGUCGUGAAGAGGGAAACAACCCAGACCGCCAGCUAAGGUCCCAAAGUCAUGGUUAAGUGGGAAACGAUGUGGGAAGGCCCAGACAGCCAGGAUGUUGGCUUAGAAGCAGCCAUCAUUUAAAGAAAGCGUAAUAGCUCACUGGUCGAGUCGGCCUGCGCGGAAGAUGUAACGGGGCUAAACCAUGCACCGAAGCUGCGGCAGCGAACGUAUCACCCAAGACAACUUUACGGAGUUGACGAUUGACGGAGCGAAGCGACGUCAAAGCGUUCAUUAAAGUCGAGUUGGCUUAGGGAUACGUUCGUUGGGUAGGGGAGCGUUCUGUAAGCCUGUGAAGGUGUGUCGUGAGGCAUGCUGGAGGUAUCAGAAGUGCGAAUGCUGACAUAAGUAACGAUAAAGCGGGUGAAAAGCCCGCUCGCCGGAAGACCAAGGGUUCCUGUCCAACGUUAAUCGGGGCAGGGUGAGUCGACCCCUAAGGCGAGGCCGAAAGGCGUAGUCGAUGGGAAACGGGUUAAUAUUCCCGUACUUGGUGUUACUGCGAAGGGGGGACGGAGAAGGCUAUGUUGGCCGGGCGACGGUUGUCCCGGUUUAAGCGUGUAGGUGUGUGUUCCAGGUAAAUCCGGUUCACUUUAACACUGAGGCGUGACGACGAGGCACUACGGUGCUGAAGCAACAAAUGCCCUGCUUCCAGGAAAAGCCUCUAAGCAUCAGGUAACAUCAAAUCGUACCCCAAACCGACACAGGUGGUCAGGUAGAGAAUACCAAGGCGCUUGAGAGAACUCGGGUGAAGGAACUAGGCAAAAUGGUGCCGUAACUUCGGGAGAAGGCACGCUGACACGUAGGUGAAGUGAUUUACUCAUGGAGCUGAAGUCAGUCGAAGAUACCAGCUGGCUGCAACUGUUUAUUAAAAACACAGCACUGUGCAAACACGAAAGUGGACGUAUACGGUGUGACGCCUGCCCGGUGCCGGAA
rnacentral:rRNA from 1 species